UUUUUAUCAAUAUACUAUUAGACUACUGUAAAUAAAAGCAAAUUUAAUAUCACACAUAUGACAUAUUGAGGACUUACAGUCAAAAAUAAUUUCCCCCUUGAAACAAAGGGUUAGUAGCUUGAUAGGUGAUCAAAACAUUUUUUAUGAUAAAACAUUGCAUUCUUAUACUGUCAGCAGUUCUAUCAAUUUCAAACUUUGAAAAGAAGCAUCUUCAAUGAUAUAAAAAAAUCUUCAAAAAAGGUUAAAAAAAAUUGAAUAAUGGUGAGCGAUUAGCACAAAGGGGAAAAAAAUCCAUUUUGAAUUGAUUGGCUACAAGAUAUAUAAAUGCAAGGACCCUUUUAUAAAAUUAACUUAUUUCUAAAGAAUAAUUAUAAAUAAAAAUUAAUAUAAAAAAAAAAAAAAAUAGUAAAUGGUAUUUUUUUUUUUUAAUGUUAUAUAUAAUUUCUCCUGAUUACCAUACCACCUCAUAACCUUAUUUACAUCAAGCAUACACAAUUACUUUUGAUUAUAAUCCAAUGCAUGGCACAAUUAUCUCCCUUGCGCCUUCUAUAUUUAAUAUUUAUAUGGUUGUAACACCACUAAUUAGGGCCUGGCCAGAAAGUAGUACAUAUUUAACACAAAAUUGUUUCUAAGCAUGAGUGUAACUUUCAAAAUAUGUAGAAGAUUUAGGUAUUUUUGGUAUCAAAUGAAAGCUAAAGGACUGGUGGUCAUUGUAGAAUGCUUCUUGACUUAUAAUUUUAAAUAUUUAAAAAACUACAUCUAAUUUUUAAAAAAGGGUACAUUUUGUCUGUUUUACAGAUCUGAAGUACCUGUUUUGGUACAUCUGAAGUUCUGGGAAACAGUUCUUUCUUAUAUAUGCCAUUAAAGUUAUGUUGAUUUUUUCAUUACAAGACACCAUAAGGUGUUGCUUUGACAUACAAUGAUUGUCGCUUUAUUUGAACUUAAAACAAAAGAGGUGUGCCUGCUUAAAAUGGAGGAAUUUAACAUAGAAAGCAAAGGGGCCAUGAAUUAGUGGUGUACUUCCUUAUAAUCCAAUGUAUGGAUCAAUUACCUCCCUUGCGUCUUUUAUAUUUAAUAUUUAUAUUGUUUUCUAUUCAAAACCAUUUGAACACAUACAUUCACA
rnacentral:lncRNA from 1 species